UCCUAUACUACCCUGAAUGCACCCAAUCUUGUACAAUUUCAGAAGCAAAGCAGGGUCAGGCCUGGUUAGUACUUGGAUGAGAAUAUUGAGUUUUAUCUUGGGAAAUUCUCUUAAAAGAAGGAA
rnacentral:rRNA from 1 species